GUCGGGAUAGCUCAGCUGGUAGAGCAAAGACUGAAAU
rnacentral:tRNA from 1 species